GAGUUUCUCCCAAUAUCAAAACAAGCUUUGUUUGCUGCUCUCUCUUCUGACUUUCUUCUCAUUCCAUUUUUCUUUCUUGGAAAUUCUCAAGAAAAUGAAAUGUUUUUGUACAGAAAACAUGGGAUUAUGGAGAGAAUAUAGAUUCUCUCUUAAAAACAUACCCAUUUACCAUUAUUUUCUCUCACUCGAAACAACAACAAUAAAUGAGAAAUGAGAGAGAAAUUAUUCUUGACAACAUUCAUGUCACUUCUCAUGUAAGUUUCGUUUGUU
rnacentral:misc_RNA from 1 species